rnacentral:rRNA from 1 species
UACGUAGGGUGCGAGCGUUGUCCGGAAUUAUUGGGCGUAAAGGGCUCGUAGGCGGUUUGUCGCGUCGGGAGUGAAAACCCAGGGCUUAACUCUGGGCUGGCUUCCGAUACGGGCAGACUAGAGGUAUGCAGGGGAGAACGGAAUUCCUGGUGUAGCGGUGAAAUGCGCAGAUAUCAGGAGGAACACCGGUGGCGAAGGCGGUUCUCUGGGCAUUACCUGACGCUGAGGAGCGAAAGCGUGGGGAGCAAACAGG